UACGAAUGGGGCAAGCGUUGUUCGGAAUCACUGGGCUUAAAGCGUAUGCAGGCGGCCAAGCAAGUCAGAAGUGAAAUCCCCGGGCUCAACCCGGGAAUUGCUUUUGAAACUGCUCGGCUAGAAUCCCGGAGAGGUUGGCGGAAUUCCGAGUGUAGAGGUGAAAUUCGCAGAUAUCAGGAGGAACACCGGUGGCGAAGGCGCCACUCUGGGCCGGUACUGACGCUGAGGAGCGAAAGCGUGGGUAGCAAACAGG
rnacentral:rRNA from 1 species